rnacentral:rRNA from 1 species
GACGAACGCUGGCGGCGUGCCUAAUACAUGCAAGUCGAGCGAGCGGCGGACGGGUGAGUAAUGUAUGGGGACUGCCCGAUAGAGGGGGAUAACUACUGGAAACGGUGGCUAAUACCGCAUACUAUCGGAUAACCCAUAUGGGAUUAGCUAGUAGGUGGGGUAAAGGCUCACCUAGGCGACGAUCUCUAGCUGGUCUGAGAGGAUGAUCACCAACACUGGGACUGAGACAGGGCCCAUACUCCUAGGGAGGAACCAGUGGGGAUAAUUGCACAAUGGGCGCAAGCCUGAUGCACCCAUGCCGGUUGUAUGAAGAAGGCCUUAGGGUGUUAAAGUACUUUCAGCGGGGAGGCGUUACCCGAAGAAGAAGCACCGGCUAACUCCGUGCCAGCCGCCGCGGUAAUUC